GUCUCUGUGGUGCAAUCGAUUAGCGCGUUUGGCUGUUAACUGAAAGGUUGGUGGUUCAAGCCCACCCAGGGACG
rnacentral:tRNA from 2 species